rnacentral:rRNA from 1 species
GACGGAGGGUGCAAGCGUUGUUCGGAAUUACUGGGCGUAAAGGGCGCGUAGGCGGUCUGUUAAGUUCGGUGUGAAAGCCCCCGGCUCAACUGGGGAGGGUCAUUCGAUACUGAUCAACUUGAAGGCAGGAGAGAGAAGUGGAAUUCCCGGUGUAGUGGUGAAAUGCGUAGAUAUCGGGAGGAACACCAGUGGCGAAGGCGGGUUGCUGGGCCGAUACUGACGCUGAGGAGCGAAAGCCAGGGGAGCGAACGGG